rnacentral:rRNA from 1 species
CAGCAGCCGCGGUAAUACGAAGGGUGCAAGCGUUAAUCGGAAUUACUGGGCGUAAAGGGUGCGUAGGCGGUUGUUUAAGUCUGUUGUGAAAUCCCCGGGCUCAACCUGGGAAUUGCAGUGGAUACUGGCAAGCUAGAGUGUGUCAGAGGAUGGUGGAAUUCCCGGUGUAGCGGUGAAAUGCGUAGAGAUCGGGAGGAACAUCAGUGGCGAAGGCGGCCAUCUGGGACAACACUGACGCUGAGGCACGAAAGCGUGGGGAGCAAACAGGAUUAGAUACCCGAGUAGUCCCUGUCUCUUAUAA